rnacentral:rRNA from 1 species
AUUGAACGCUGGCGGCAGGCCUAACACAUGCAAGUCGAGCGGAGCGGCGGACGGGGGAGUAAUGCCUAGGAAUCUGCCUGGUCGUGGGGGAUAACGUCCGGAAACGGGCGCUAAUACCGCAUACUAUCAGAUGAGCCUAGGUCGGAUUAGCUAGUUGGUGGGGUAAAGGCCUACCAAGGCGACGAUCCGUAACGGGUCUGAGAGGAUGAUCAGUCAGACUGGAACUGAGACACGGUGCAGACUCAUCCGUGGUGAAGCAGUGGGGAAUAUUGAACAAUGGGCGAAAGUCUGAUCCAGCCAGGCCGCGUGUGUGAAGAAGGUCUUCGGAUUGUAAAGCACUUUAAGUUGGGAGGCGUUACCAACAGAAUAAGCACCGGCUAACUUCGUGCCAGCGGCCGCGGUAAUUC